CCAAGGUCCGAGUUUUACGUAGGUGUACAAUUCAAUUUUAACCUUAACUAUGUGUUUUGUCUAAGAUUUUGUGUACGAGACACUACUUAAAAGUAAAGUAAUGGUCACUCUAUUGAAGAUUAAUAACAAAGAUGGUUCACAGUUUAUGUUUUAAAUUGUUUCUUGUUAUAUCGAUUACUACACUAUUAAGACUGGUAACACCAAUAGGAUAUUUUCAAUGUUCUGAUGUGUUUUUAAGUGAAGAACUUGAAAUGUUUCUCUCUUGUAAAGAAUUUUGUGAGUGUGCUGUAAAAAUCAAUCAUGAUAUUGUUAUAGGGUGCAAAAAGACCUGCUGUUGCAGGGAACAUGAUCUCAAGUCGUAUGAUUUAACGUUGUCAAGUAAUCAAACGAGACCAUAGUAACCUUUGCGUUGCAAAGAGAUAAAACGUAAAGCUCGUAAACAAAUUACUUUGGCGUUGCUUAGAGAUCAAGCGUAAAACUCAUAAAAUAAAUUUGUACCUGUUACGUAAUAGUAUGACGUAUAAAUUUCUAUUUAUUAA